rnacentral:rRNA from 1 species
AUUGAACGCUGGCGGCAGGCUUAACACAUGCAAGUCGAGCGGAGCGAGGGUGCUUGCACCUUAGCUUAGCGGCGGACGGGUGAGUAAUGCUUAGGAAUCUGCCUAUUAGUGGGGGACAACAUUCCGAAAGGAAUGCUAAUACCGCAUACGCCCUACGGGGGAAAGCAGGGGAUCUUCGGACCUUGCGCUAAUAGAUGAGCCUAAGUCGGAUUAGCUAGUUGGUGGGGUAAAGGCCUACCAAGGCGACGAUCUGUAGCGGGUCUGAGAGGAUGAUCCGCCACACUGGGACUGAGACACGGCCCAGACUCCUACGGGAGGCAGCAGUGGGGAAUAUUGGACAAUGGGCGGAAGCCUGAUCCAGCCAUGCCGCGUGUGUGAAGAAGGCCUUUUGGUUGUAAAGCACUUUCGCAAGGGAAGAAAACUUACUUACUAAUACUAGGUGAGGCUGACGGUACCUUGAUAAGAAGCACCGGCUAACUACGUGCCAGCAGCCGCGGUAACAC